rnacentral:rRNA from 1 species
UACGUAGGGUGCAAGCGUUGUCCGGAAUUAUUGGGCGUAAAGCGCGCGCAGGUGGUUUCUUAAGUCUGAUGUGAAAGCCCACGGCUCAACCGUGGAGGGUCAUUGGAAAUUGGGGAACUUGAGUGCAGGAGAGAAGAGUGGAAUUCCACGUGUAGCGGUGAAAUGCGUAGAGAUGUGGAGGAACACCAGUGGCGAAGGCGACUCCUUGGCCUGUAACUGACACUGAGGCGCGAAAGCGUGGGGAGCAAACAGG